rnacentral:rRNA from 1 species
UACGUAGGGACCAAGCGUUGUUCGGAUUUACUGGGCGUAAAGGGCGCGUAGGCGGCAAUUCAAGUCAGCUGUGAAAUCUCUGGGCUUAACCCAGAACGGCCAGCUGAUACUGCUUUGCUAGAGUGCAGAAGGGGCAAUCGGAAUUCUUGGUGUAGCGGUGAAAUGCGUAGAUAUCAAGAGGAACACCGGUGGCGAAGGCGGUCUGCUGGGGUAAUGCUGACACUGAUGCGCGACAGCGGUGGGGAGCAAACAGG